rnacentral:rRNA from 1 species
UACGUAGGGGGCGAGCGUUGUCCGGAUUUAUUGGGCGUAAAGAGCUCGUAGGCGGUGUGUCACGUCGGCCGUGAAAACCUGCAGCUUAACUGUGGGCGUGCGGUCGAUACGGGCAUCACUGGAGUUCGGCAGGGGAGACUGGAAUUCCUGGUGUAGCGGUGAAAUGCGCAGAUAUCAGGAGGAACACCGGUGGCGAAGGCGGGUCUCUGGGCCGAUACUGACGCUGAGGAGCGAAAGCGUGGGGAGCAAACAGG